AUACUAAUUAACAAGUGACACAUGAACAGUUCUUCAUUCUGAUUGGCUAAUAAUUUUUUUUAUGGUUUUUUUUUCUUCUUUUGUUGUCUUCUUUCUCUUAAUAAAUAAUUUAUAUUCCACAUGAAAGUGGAUUACAGAUGUCUUCGUUUCUCAAACUCCUUUCUACGUGUUUGUUUCCUGCUCCUUCUUUUUUGCCAUAUCGACUUUUUCCACCGCUUACCUUCUUCUACGAAGAACAAUCGACCUUCUCACUUUGCUCUUUCGUUAUGGCCUUCACUGCUAGACAAAAAUUGGAAUUGGCAAAUGGCAACACUAGAUAAGGAGACGACCGAUCUACCCUGGUUGUCGGUGUGCGGUUGUGGCAUAUGCGAUCUUUAUUAGGGGAAGCAGUGACCGGAGGUUCCCUUACAUCUCCUCCCGAUUGCAUCCAAAAGGGCACACUGAGGUCGUUAACGAACUGCUAUCAGAGAAUCCGACCAAACCACAAUUGGACCGACCAACUCAUAUCAGUCAUGGGUUAGUUUAUCUCUCUGCUGGGUUAGUACACUACCGAUCGCUUCCCUCUACACCAGUGGAGAAUGGAUCAAUUCAAUGAGCUUUUCCGAAUAGUAGAUUUGGAUAUUGAUGGAAAAAUCAGUGGAGUCGAAGUUGUUGCUUUCUUUCAGGUUCUAAUUUAUUUAAUGCAGUGCUUGCUCAGGUACUUAAAAUUCAACAUCUCUGUGUAUUAAACUCUCGAUUGAAUUUGUAAGGGGUUUUAGAUAUUAACUUUCUGUAGUCAUUGACAAAUCUAUUUAAUACUACUUCAUCCGUUCAAUAGUCGAGAAGCAGUCUGACAGAUGUUUGAAUAUUUAGGAGAAUUUGUAUCAUAUCUUGUGCUAUAAACCGUUACAAGUCAUUUUGGGUCUCUACUCUCCACUAAAUUUUGAUUUGUCAUCAUCUGUAGGAACAGUGUGGAUUAAUUGAGUUGCACUUUGCAAAUCUCUCUGGUCAUCUCCCUUAUCUGAAAUCUUCACUUAUGUUUGUAUAAUGGGUUGGGUUGGGUGAUACUAAUCUGAAAAAUACAAGAAGUGUAAACCUUCUGUCUUUUUUUUUCUUGCAUUUUUAUCAGAUUUAAAGUUAUCGGUGUUCCAAUGAGUUAUUGGGAGUUACUCUCACAGUCAUACCAAGGCCUACUUCGUUUUGUCACGAGAUAAAUUGAUUUCAUCCUUUUUAGAGUAUAUUGGAAUAACAUUUCCUAUACUGGUUUGAAAAUUUGUUUGUUCUUUGGUAAUUUUCAGGUAUAUAUAUAUAUAUAUAUAUAUAUAUAUAUAUAUAUAUAUAUAUAUAUAUAUAUAUGUGUGUGUGUGUGUGUGUGUGUAGCGUGUUAUGGCUAACCAAGCUAACUGAUCAACAUUUGACAGCUCAUGGAUUUACCUCUACCCUUAAAGGUAAAAAUAAAAAGUCUUUUUAACUUUAUUUAAAUAUCUCUUUGACAGGUGGACCCUCAAGAUAUUGUUAUGGUAUGUUGAAAAUUACAUUUAAAACAUAUGUUUAUUAAUUUACAAGCACUGAUUUACUAUAUGUGUAACCCGAUAGCUAAAUAAAUAAGUAUCCAUCUGAGAGAGGCGCAUCAUACAGUUUGUUAGGUAAAAAAAAUAGUGAUUUCAAGAGUUUUUGUCCAAGAUGCGCUUGCAUAAUUUUUCUUUUUUGAUAAGAAAAUUGACUUCAAUAGUUUUCACCAAACUACCCCUACAUAUUAUUCUUUUGGUAAAAAAAAUAUUGAUUUUAUACUCUGUAUGUUUAAGAACAAAACAUUGACUAAACCAAACCAAAAACUUGGGGUUACGGGGUUAAGUAUCCUCUAUAACAUAUUUAAAAUAUGGAUUUGUGCAAUAAGAUUUCAUUAGAUUGCGGACUGAUCUGUUACAAUUCUUUUAGCUGAAUUUUUUGUUCUUUUUUUACUUAUUUAUGGGUAAAAAUGAGACAGAGAGGUUACCUAUUUUAGAAAAUUUUGUUUGACUUAUAGCUGAUGAUGUGCACCUUUGUUUCUUUACUGAAUAUAUAUACUUUAAUACGCAAUAUAUCAUCAUCUUAUGUAUAUUCUAGAGGAUAAGAUAGGAUUUUUGAGAAAGUAAUUAGUUUUAUGUAAGCUAAUAUUUUCAAUACUUUUUAGGUACCAGUGGUUGGAAUUGCAAUGGCACCCAAUAGAACUUACAUGUAGACAACAAACAUGGUCACUUACCGUCAUUCUUCUUCGGAAGAUGAGUAAGAUACCCAAGCUUUCUACCCACACAACCUCAUUAUGAUCUUCCCAAAAAACACGAUCUCAUUCCAUGUGUAGUAUGAUAUUUGGAACUUGAUGAGGCUUUUGUAUGAACCUACAAUUGAAUAAGUUGCUACAUCUAAAGCCCUUCUAAGAUUGUAUCAGGCCUUAAGAGCAGGCAAACCAAAGUAGAUUGUUAUUUGUUGCAUUUUUCAUAUUUAAAUGGCAUAGUCCAUACAAUAUAACUCAAUAAAUUUUUUCUGUUUUUUCCAAUUCUUUGGCCUUUCCAACCCCGCAAAGCGGGAUUCUUCCCUAGUUAAAGCUUAAAUAACAACUUAUGUUUCUAACUUUUGAAGUAAAUACUUGUCAAUGUCCGCAUUGCUACUUCCUUUACAUGUGAGUCCUUACAAUUUAAUAUUCAGGUAGU